rnacentral:rRNA from 1 species
UUCAGGGGUAAACCUGAGAAACCCGAAAGGUCGAAAGGGGAAAUUCAUUCGGGUCUCGGCAGUCGGCGAUGCGUGGUGCGACGGACGGCGUCCGCGUCGUCUGCGCCUUCCACGCUUCGAACCGGUGCCGAACUCGUGCACUUUUCCCCUAGUAGGACGUCGCGAUCCGUUGGGUGUCGGUCUAAGGCUCGCGGUGGAGCCCGCGCGGACGUUUCGGCGUUCCGCGCGGACCCGCGGUGUCCCGGCCGACUCGCUCGACGGUAUACAUAUGGCGCGGGGCCGCUACUGACUCUGUCAGAGUUAGCGUUCGGCCCGCGGCAAGCACGUUCGGUGUUUGACGAUGAUCGGACCUGGUGCCGGUCUUGUCCCCGAGCGACUGUUGGCUGCGGUGUUCUUAUCUCGAACAGACCUCGUUGAAACGCCGAUCUGCGACGCUAUAGCUUUGGGUACUUUCAGGACCCACGGACCAAGGAGUCUAGCAUGUGCGCGAGUCAUUGGGACAUCACUAAACCUAAAGGCGUAAUGAAAGUAAAGGUUCGCCUCGCGCGAACCGAGGGAGGAUGGGUGGUUCGCCCUUAAAGUGGCCGCCCCGCACUCCCGGGGCGUCUCAUUCUCAUCGCGAGAAGAGGCGCACCAAGAGC